UACGUAGGUGGCAAGCGUUGUCCGGAUUUACUGGGCGUAAAGAGCGCGCAGGCGGCUGGUCAAGUCCGAUGUGAAAUCUCCCGGCUUAACUGGGAAACUGCAUCGGAAACUGAUCGGCUUGAAGGUGGGAGAGGGUAGUGGAAUUCCCGGUGUAGUGGUGAAAUGCGUAGAUAUCGGGAGGAACACCGAUGGCGAAGGCAGGUCUCUGGGCCACUACUGACGCUGAGAAGCGAAAGCAUGGGGAGCGAACAGG
rnacentral:rRNA from 1 species